UUCAAUCCAUAGGUAGAUAUGGUGGACUUUUGUGGCAAAAACUGGGUUUAUGGGUUUUGGAUGCACAAGUAGUAUCUCUACUUGGUGCAAGGUUUUGGCUAGCAAAAGGUUAUGAGAAAGUACCACAUGUUAGAGGAUCCAUGAUAGUAUAGCUUCUAUGUGAAUAUAAGAAAACAUAACUCAUUAUGUUGUCUUCCUUGUCCAACAUCAACUAGUUGAUCGUGCAUAGAAAUUUAAUGGGGGCUCACAGUCAUAAAA
rnacentral:lncRNA from 1 species